CUUCAGAUUAGUGGGCUUUUUUUGGGUGUUCUGUAUCUGGCCUUUGGACUGUCGAUCUUAGUUUUGUAUCCGGUUUGAACGAACAGAAGAAGCCUCUAACCCUAAUCAGCUUCAGAAGAGAAACAAAUGCCGUAUCUCCACAUCUUUCGACGGCGACUCGAUUUCGUUUCUGCUUUCUAUCACCAUCUGAAACAGUCCGAGUUAAGAGUUCAUGUUUAAUCCCAUCUAUUCGGUGUGCCCAGAACUUCCUCCUUUCUUCACUAUAACCACAAGAAGAAACAAGAUAGAAGAAUCUAAGUUAGAGAAGCUUUGCAAUUUGUUCUACAACAAAUUGUCUGAGUGUUGUUUUAUGCUCAAGCCAACCAUCCUAACCAGAAGUUAUUGGCCGUGGAUGUGAAGCCUGAGUUGAUGUCACUACCAGGAAUAACCCCAAGUUCAUGGGAGGCUGGAUUUUCCUAAAUGCAAUUUCUGACGCACAUAUAUACUUACUUUGACAAAGAAACAAGUGACAGUGACGCCUGCAACUGCUCAGAUGGUGAGAAAGUAGCUAUUGACCAGAUUAUCGGAGGUGAUGACAUCCUCUCAAACCACCCUGGGGUAUGGGAUGCAACAGCCGCUGCUGAGCAGCCCACUUCUGGCGGAAGCAAUGCAGACGAACAUCUGGUUCCAGUAGGAGGAAACACACUAAAAAGCACAUAUCUGCAGUUGUUGUUAUGCUUUCGUAAAUGAACACCCUCUCUUUGUCCUCUUGAUCUGCUGUUCUGAGUACUCUUGAGCUGAUCUGAGUUUCUUUUGUUUAUUUAGACCAGUUGAAGUCGAGUUCUUCUGAUGGUAAAAUCAGGAACCUAGGGAGAGUGAGAAACUACAUUGCCUUAUACCAGCACCUAUAGCGUAUGUUACACAUCUCUCUUGGCCCAAGAGUAUAGAUUAUGUGCCUUAUGCUAAUGCCCCGUAGAAGGCUAUUCAGAAAUGGAUUUAGUAUGAGAUGGACGUUUUUAGAUUCCUUGGUGGUGGAACUCAUUUCCCUUAAGGUGGUAGGACUGCUUUGGACAAUGGUUGUGAGGUUAUGUCUUAUGUUUGCUUCUGUUUAUAUUCUUUGAGUCUCAUAUUCUUCAUUAGUGAUGUUGUGGGAUUAUAUGUUUGUAGUUACUUUAUUUCGGUUUCACCACACGUGAAUUACCUGCUGAGAAGAUGUAUUUGGCUUUAAAAGUAGUUCUAUUACGAUAAUGAUUAUAUGUUUGAAUAUUGCAUACUUUAAAAUUUUCUUUGGAUCAAGCUCUCCCUCAAUGGAAAACAUGUUAACUAGCAUGUGACAUGAUGAAGGGACGAAGAUUUUAGACAUCUUCGAAUGGACAAACAACACUGCCGCCGUUGAUAAGCUGUGGCUGCAACUGAAGCGGUCGUUGCGUGAGGUUCCGAUCGUUAAGAGGAAAUCAAAUGGCACGAGCAUGAUGUUUCUCAUGCCACCACGAGCAUGCGAGCUCAAGGAACUUCAGAAAAGAUGCACUAAAUGUUUUUACUAUAAGGAGAUGGAGAAGUUUUUGCAGUUGGUGUACCGUGGCUAGAGCAAAGCUUUACGUUUUUAUUUAUUUUCCGUUUUCCCUUUCAGUCACGUCUUAUUACGUUCAGUUUCCUUUUAGUUUUUUGCAUUUUCUGCAUGAAUAUUGUCGCUGGUUUGCAUACAUCACUUGAAGCUUCUAUCUGUUAUUUUGUCUUAAGUUUGAGAACUA